rnacentral:rRNA from 1 species
UAGGGAAUAUUGGGCAAUGGACGAGAGUCUGACCCAGCCAUGCCGCGUGCAGGAUGAAGGCCUUCUGGGUUGUAAACUGCUUUUAUCUAGGAAGAAAAUACCCUUGCGAGGGGAACUGACGGUACUAGGUGAAUAAGCACCGGCUAACUCCGUGCCAGCAGCCGCGGUAAUACGGAGGGUGCAAGCGUUGUCCGGAUUUAUUGGGUUUAAAGGGUGCGUAGGCGGCCCAUUAAGUCCGUGGUGAAAGCCAACAGCUCAACUGUUGAACUGCCAUGGAUACUGAUGGGCUUGAGUACAGACGAGGUAGGCGGAAUGGAUGCUGUAGCGGUGAAAUGCAUAGAUAGCAUCCAGAACACCGAUUGCGUAGGCAGCUUACUAGGCUGUAACUGACGCUGAGGCACGAAAGCGUGGGGAGCGAACAG